CCUACGGGAGGCUGCAGUGAGGAAUAUUGGGCAAUGGGCGCGAGCCUGAACCAGCCAAGUAGCGUGAAGGAUGACUGCCCUACGGGUUGUAAACUUCGUUUAUAAAGGAAUAAAGUUAGGCACGUGUGCCUUUUUGUAUGUACUUUAUGAAUAAGGAUCGGCUAACUCCGUGCCAGCAGCCGCUGUAAUACUGUGGAUGCAGGCGUUAUCGGGAUUUAUUGGGUUUAAAGGGUGCGUAGGCGGUGAGGUAAGUCAGCGGUGAAAUGCCCCGGCUCAAAGGGGUGAAGUGCCAGUGAUACUGCCUUGCUGGAAUGCGGAUGCGGUGGGAGGAAUGUGUGGUGUAGCGGUGAAAUGCAUAGAUAUCACACAGAACACCGAUUGCGAAGGCAUCUCACGAAUCUGCGAUUGACGCUGAUGCACGAAAGCGUGGGUAUCAAACAGGAUUAGAUACCCCAGUAGUC
rnacentral:rRNA from 1 species